rnacentral:rRNA from 1 species
UAAACGACUCUCGGCAAUGGAUAUCUCGGCUCUUGCAUCGAUGAAGAACGUAGCGAAAUGCGAUACUUGGUGUGAAUUGCAGAAUCCCGUGAACCAUCGAGUCUUUGAACGCAAGUUGCGCCUGAAGCCAUUAGGUUGAAGGCACGUCUGCCUGGGCGUCACGC